rnacentral:rRNA from 1 species
CCAAGAGAUCGGGAUAACACCUAGGAAACAGAUGCUAAUACCGGAUAACAACAGAUGAUGCCUAUCAACUGUUUAAAAGAUGGUUCUGCUAUCACUCUUGGAUGGACCUGCGGUGCAUUAGCUAGUUGGUAGGGUAACGGCCUACCAAGGCGAUGAUGCAUAGCCGAGUUGAGAGACUGAUCGGCCACAUUGGGACUGAGACACGGCCCAAACUCCUACGGGAGGCAGCAGUG